GACGAACGCUGGCGGCGUGCUUAACACAUGCAAGUCGAACGGAAAGGCCCUGCUUUUGUGGGGUGCUCGAGUGCGGAACGGGGGAGUAACACGUGAGUAACCUGCCCUUGACUUUGGGAUAACUUAAGGAAACUGGGGCUAAUCCCGGAUAGGAGCCCCUGCUCCAUGGUGGGGGUUGGAAAGUUUCGGCGGUUGGGGAUGGACUCGCGGCUUAUCAGCUUGUUGGUGGGGUAGUGGCUUACCAAGGCUUUGACGGGUAGCCGGCCUGAGAGGGUGACCGGCCACAUUGGGACUGAGAUACGGACCAGACUGCUACGGGAGGCAGCAGUGGGGAAUAUUGCACAAUGGGCGGAAGCCUGAUGCAGCAACGCCGCGUGCGGGAUGACGGCCUUCGGGUUGUAAACCGCUUUCGCCUGUGACGAAGCGUGAGUGACGGUAAUGGGUAAAGAAGCACCGGCUAACUACGUG
rnacentral:rRNA from 1 species